UUAACUAUUAUAUAGUUCUCAGACGACACUAUAAUUCAGAAUUUGGGGUCCUCUGGCAGGCACUCACCAGCCGAAGCCGGUAGCCGAAGCGGCCUGCCAAAGCAACAAAAGUAUAGUACUCAAGGGGUGGGAGAUCUACCCGUAAGGGCAUGAACUCUGUAAUGAUCCUUCCGCAGGUUCACCUACGGAAA
rnacentral:misc_RNA from 1 species